CAUUCCUUCCGGCAGUGGGCCCAAUCCUGUUAGUUGCACGAUCCAGGGAGAGAAAGGCACCGAAGAGCUGAGGAGGGGGACUGAACUUGCUCCGAGGGGCGGUUGCAGCCUUCGCGCGCUCGCGCACUUCUGUUGCUCCUCUGCGCGGCCAUGCUCGCCCCAGGCCUUCCUACCGCGCCUCCCAGAGAGGGAGGGUCAGCAACCAUGAGGAGGUGCGCGCAACUGCGCCGGUCCUCCUACGGUCUCUCGCACGUUCUCUGGGUGGCACAUUGGGCCCAAUCCUCCUGAGGAAAAGAGAAAGGAAACAGGGAUGUACAGAGCAAUCCACAUGGAUUAGGAGGAGCAAAAAUGGUGUAUAUGGAAGACUGCAGCAGACCAUAGGGAAUCAAAGGCAUGCACAUCUGGAUCACCAUUCAGCCUGCACCUCCACUUGUGUAAGGAAUAUAAGUUCCAGGGGUCAUGACAGGCACACACAGGUCUCCCAUUUCCUUGUAACAGCUUGUGCCUCAUUGUAGAUGGAAGAAGGAAAGUUCAACAGGCUCAUGCUAUAUGAGUGUUACCUGGAUGUCACACUAACCCACAGAAGGCCCUAUGUUCUUACUUGCAUAUUCUCUUCUUGAUGAUGAGAACUGUUUGAAAAGUGCACAGUGGAUCAUUACACUUUAUUACAGUUUGGAAAAGUAAUUUGACAAUUUGGACAACUACAGCUGUGUAAAACUAGGAUAUAUUUGCAAUUAUGAAAUUACAAUUGUUUAUCUACCAGAGUAUACAUUAAAAGACCCACCUGAAAACAUAUUGGCUACAAUCCAAUGGAAGACAGCAGGAAUGGGAUAUAAGAACAUCUAAUUAGUUAUUUUUUUCCUGUAACAAAUUCCUUAAUAAAUGAUGGAUAUGGUCCCUUUCUGCUUAGAGACAGAAUCCAGUGUAACAUGAUGAUGUAAUCAAAGUUAAAAACUCUAGGCAAACAAAUUUCUAAACCCUACAUUUUUUAGUGAAUAUUUCAAGUGAAGCAACAUUUAUCUAAGUGUCAUUAUCACUAGGCUGCUUUUUCUAGUCUGAAGAUACAAUGUUUAAACAUUUACAGAAUUGUAUGUCUUUAAAAUACUGAAGUGUUCACAAAAAGAAAUGGAACUUUGCCUGAAUCUGAAUUUUAAAACUCAUUUUGUUUUAAUGCUGCAUAAUAGAUGGAGUAAGUGGGAUAGCUAAAUAUAAUGUAUUCAUUCAUUGUUCAUGAACUGUGGUAGUAGGUAAUCUGUAUUGUAAUAUUCACAGGAUUUAUUUUGUUUAAUAAAGAUAGAACUUUUGAUGGUUUGUCAUGCAAAAGGAGUAACAAAAACAUCUAAUUGCUAUUUAUCUUGCAUCCUCAUAGCACAUUCCCUCCAAAUUAACCUGAGGGAUACAGCAAUCCUAUAUCUUCUAGAUGUUGUCAGACCCGCCAUUAAAUUUUAGAAUUUAGACUUUGCUCUGACCUCAGACCUGAUUAGAGUGCAGAUUGUCUAUUCCUGCACUAUAACAGCUGAUGUGGAAAGAACCACAUUGGUUGCUCUCCAAGGCUGGAAAAGUGACCUUGGAGAGGGGUAGAAGGAGGUGUUUUGUGGGGUGAAAUGGGGAGGGAAGGAGACUAGGGAUACCAGGAUACAAGGACCAACGUCUUUCAUUUGCCCUCUAUUUUUGCCAUCUGGAAUAUAUCCUCCCUCUCUGCACUGGAUGGGUGUGAGCCUUUGAGUGUGUGGGGUUCAUAUUUAUCUCCCCAGAAUUGUCCCCUAACUUGUACUGAUGAUGUUUCAGACUGUGAUCUGGAAAAUAUGCAAAAUUGGAAAUGGUAGUCCCAUUCACCUGGGUUCAAGAAUAGCCUAUGAGUGUUGGAUUACCCCCAUCCUUUUGUUUUUACUGUUUCAUUCUAAAUUGCAUUUAUCUCAUGCUUCAUGAUCAUUUCACCCUUCUUGUACAGCACUUACUAGAGUAAUAUUUCUUUAAAAACAUUCCCAUGCCUGUAGGCUUGUCCAGAUAUCGUUUAUUUGCUUGUGGGAAUGAUUAAAGUGGCAGAUAAAAGUUAAACUGCCUGGAGGAAGGAUCCUGAAAACCCUGCUAAAAGUAAUUCAUUCUCUUUGAUAUAGCUGCUUACACUCAGCUGAAAGUCUUCAAAGUCUUUGUCUGGACAGGCUACAGAUGUGUGCAGUGAGAGUAGUUUUUCAAAAUACUAAGACAAUGAUUUUACAGCUGCAUGAAAAAUGCAGCAUUUAUAUCUUCUUAAAUUUUAUUUUACAUAUGGGUGCUUCCCCCAGGUUUGGUUGUACUGGAGCCAAGAUAUAUACUGAAAAUCUUAUUUUGCUCUAAAUUCAGAACAAGAAAGAAAUCUUUUUUGGCUUUUAGCCAAGCCAUUAAAAGGGAGAGAAAGAAAACACAGUGUCCAUACACAUUUUUGUUGGCUGUUUAGGCUUGCUUUGAGGGCAUGAGUAUGUUGCUCAAAAGUGGGAUUUAUAUUGCACCGUCAAUGUGUAUGGCAAGUUGUAGAGUAACACAACUGAUUUUUGGUGUCUGGUUUGAGGCACUGGCAUCUUAAUAGGAAAUGCACAUACGGUUCCCAUGGCUUUGCAACAUCUAGAUUUCUGUCUCAGUGAUAAUUUCAUGAUGAAUAUUCCCCAAUUACAUCACCACAUAAACUAGGUAUCAUACUCUGUGUCUGUAUAAUAACUUGAUUUACCUCCUAUGUUUGCUAUGGUAUCUUUUAAACAAUGUUAUCAAGAUGUAUAAAAAACAGUAUUGCUUGUUUUGUUUCUUAUGCAUGAUAUAAAAUAUAUUUGUUGAUGUUCAA